UACGUAGGGUGCAAGCGUUGCCCGGAUUUAUUGGGCGUAAAGCGCGCGCAGGCGGUCCUUUAAGUCUGAUGUGAAAGCCCACGGCUCAACCGUGGAGGGUCAUUGGAAACUGGGGGACUUGAGUGCAGAAGAGGAAAGUGGAAUUCCACGUGUAGCGGUGAAAUGCGUAGAGAUGUGGAGGAACACCAGUGGCGAAGGCGACUUUCUGGUCUGUAACUGACGCUGAGGCGCGAAAGCGUGGGGAGCAAACAGG
rnacentral:rRNA from 1 species